AACCCAGUUGGGAGAGAUGAGAAAAAGGGGAGGCUAAUCUGGUGCUUGUCUGACUCUGACUUGUUGCUGAGAGCCCAAGACAAAAAGCUGAAGACAACGCCGACGACGACGAGGAGAAGAAGAAGAGUAAAGAAACCUCUCUGAAUCUGUACUCAGACGCGAUAAAUCUGGCUCUAUCAUUCAUAGUUUUGCUUUGUUCUGCGCGUGUCUAGGCUGCGUGUCGUUUUUUUUCCCUGUGGAGAUAGAGAAAGUUUAUCUGUAUUAUAUCUUGGUCAAUCUAUAUGGAUCCAAUGGCUGAGGAGCAAACAGAUUAUGAUGAUGAGGAAUAUGGAGGGGCUCACAAGACGCAGUAUCAAGGAGGUGGAGCCAUACCUGCCCUUGCAGAUGAAGAACUGAUGGGAGAAGAUGAUGAUUAUGAUGAUCUGUACAAUGAUGUUAAUGUUGGAGAGGGUUUCCUUCAGUUGCACCGGUCUGAGGCAACAGUCCCACCUGCUACUGUUGGCAAUGGAGCUCUUCAAACUCAGAAAAAUGAACCUCAAUCAAGAGUGGAAGCUAGGGGUGCCCAAGAGCUGAGCAUUCCUGGGGUUUCAGUCGAGGGAAAGUAUUCUAGUUCUGUUGCUCAUUAUCCUGAGCAGGAGGGGCCAUCUGCUGUUAAGGGACCAGAAGUGGGAUCUGUUAGUUACCCUGAUGGAUCUUCGGCCUCACAUGGAGCAAGGGUUGUGGAGAUGCCUCGUGAUGCUCAAUUAAAAAACAUGGGGUUUCAGGGAUCCACACCUGUGCCCCCCAAUUCUGGGGUUGAUCCUUCUGAUAUGCCUGGAAAAAUUACUAAAGAUCCAAUGCCUGUGGUAAAUUCUGGCCCUGGUGGUCCUCGAGGGGUUCCACAGAUGCCCACUAAUCAAAUCAAUGUGAAUGUAAAUGUCAAUCAUCCGAUAGUGAGUGAAAAUCAGAUUCGUCCUCAUGCAGAGAAUGGUCAAACCACGCUGUUUGUGGGAGAACUACAUUGGUGGACAACUGAUGCAGAGCUUGAGAGUGCUUUAUCUCAAUAUGGAAGGGUCAAGGAAAUUAAGUUUUUUGAUGAAAGAGCUAGUGGUAAAUCCAAAGGGUAUUGUCAGGUUGAGUUUUAUGAGGCAGCUGCUGCGGCUUCAUGCAAAGAGGGAAUGAAUGGUCAUGUUUUCAAUGGCCGAGCUUGUGUUGUGGCCUUUGCUUCCCCGCAAACAUUGAAGCAGAUGGGAGCUUCUUAUGUAAACAAGAAUCAACCCCAGACUCAAUCUCAGCCUCAGGGAAGGAGGCCAAUGAAUGAUGGUGUGGGGAGAGGUGGCAAUAUGAAUUAUCAAAGUGGAGAAGGAGGAAGAAAUUAUGGACGGGGUGGAUGGGGACGGGGUGGGCAGGGUGUACUCAACCGAGGUCCUGGGAGGGGAAGAGGAGGGGGCAUGGGUGCAAGGAACAUGGUUGGGAACAAUGCUGGAGUUGGAAGUGGUGCCACUGGAGGAGGUUAUGGACAAAACUUUGGAGGUCCUGCUUUUGGGGGUCCUGCUGGUGGUAUGAUGACCCCACAGGGCAUGAUGGGUUCUGGAUUUGAUCCAACAUAUAUGGGCCGGGGAGGUGGUUAUGGAGGGUUUCCAGGUCCUGCUUUUCCUGGAAUGAUUCCUUCAUUUCCAGCUGUUAAUACUAUGGGACUUGCUGGGGUGGCACCUCAUGUCAACCCUGCCUUCUUUGGUCGUGGAAUGGCAACUAAUGGAAUGGGAAUGAUGGGUGCUGCUGGAAUGGAGGGUCAUCAUGCAGGGAUGUGGAAUGAGACGAACAUGGGUGGAUGGGGAGGAGAAGAACAUGGUCGAAGGACGAGGGAGUCAAGCUAUGGUGGUGAUGAUGGUGCUUCUGAAUAUGGUUAUGGAGAUGCAAAUCAUGAAAAAGGGGUAAGGUCAAGUGCUGCCUCCAGGGAAAAAGAACGGGGAUCUGAGCGUGACUGGUCAGGAAGCUCUGAGAGGAGGCCUCGUGAUGACAGGGAACAGGAUUGGGACAGACCGGAAAGGGAGCACAGGGACCGCCGUUACAGGGAAGAAAAAGACAAUUACCGAGACCAUCGGCAGAGAGAACGUGAUGUGGGUUAUGAGGAUGACUGGGACAGGGGGCAGUCUUCUUCUAGACCUCGAAGCAGGUCUCGAGCAAUCCCAGAAGAAGAUCACAAGUCUCGAUCCAGGGAUGGGGAUUAUGGAAAGAGGAGACGCUUGCCAUCUGAAUGAUAAAAGCAUGAUUUUCAUCCAUUGGCGGGUCUUACGAGACGUAAGACCUCAUAUCUAUGUUCUCACUUGUAGAGUUUCUUGCUGGGAUAUCUAUGGUGCACCUUCAUUAUUCUCUCUGGUUAUCAGUAGCCCCACAUUCAGAGUGUGGCUUCUUUGAGGGAAGAAGGAGUGGAGUAGGCAACCUUUUGUUUUCAUGAUUGAAUCAGCCUGUGCUAGUUUUAUGGAGGAAGAGGUGUUAUAUGGGUUGCCUUGAUUGGAUUCCUCUGGUGAUGGCUUUUGUCCGAGUGUGCGAAAGUAGCCUUGUACCACCUAAAAUUCUGUAAACCGUGAUCCUGCAACAAAAUGUUUAGAAAGAGUUGCGGUCACGUAUAUUUUUCAUAAAUGAAUGUUGAGGUCAAGUUUGUGCAUACGAUUGAUGUUUUUGUCAGUCCAUGUAAAGCACAGUACUGUUGUAUAAAGUUGACUUUUUGUACUAGGUCCACAGCUUGUAACGGUCUUCUUUUGUUGUUUUCACUGUAUUGAUUUUAUCUAUGAGCUUGUAAAAAGUUUUGAGGCUCAUACUCGUCCAUAACUGAUCAGUUGUAACUGAGAAUUUAUGUUCUUUACAAUAGGAGA